AUUAAUUUAGAAUUUGUAAAGUCACGGAAAAUUAAAUAUACACAAGGAAUUGUUUUGGAGCAGAUCCUAAGAAAUAUGAAAAAAGAAGUCGCUUAAAAAAAUCAAGUCGCCAACCACAGAAGAAGGCGUAAAUAAAAAUUCAGUCCAAGAUUGCCGAAGACAAGACCUAAGGAAAAGUAUUGCAGAGAUUGGAAAACAAAUGUGGAAAUUUUUUAAAGACAUGGUUGAUAGUCGCAAAUAUAUAUGAAUUUGAGAGCUGUUGAUGUCAGCGGCGACGCACUCAAGUUGGAGCGUAAUCUACGCUACUCUCCUAGUCUAUCGGCAAUUCUCUCGAUUGAGUGACAUUGGAUUUUAAUUCGUACCACGCUCAUCACUCAUUACAUUCUUUCACUCAAUCGACUUUGGUUGGAACUGCUGCACUUACGCUUGGAGACAUUUGCUUUACGAGAUCUCUUUCGCAUUCGAGGCUCCCUUUCUUGUUGUUGUCAGCAGCAGAAGACUUAUUUAGCUCUUGCCUUUUCUUUUUAGGUGGGGAGUUUGUCAAUCCACUGCUCACACACUUCUUUCAAGCUCCACCUCUUGAUACAGCUAUACUCGUGGGAAUCUGUUUUGCUUUGUUUUACAAUUCCAUUCUGUUCUGUUGCGCGGACUCCAAGUGAAGGAAAAAGGUGAUAACAGACACAAGUUCAACGAACUCUAGGCCUGCUGUCUUGCUCAGAAUUCCAUAUUGUUCCUCAGUGAAGGGGUAAUAGACAAAAAAAAGCUGUUGUACGAUAUCUACAUUAUUUAAAAUACUAUCCCAACAUAUUGCUUUUUGAUCCUGAUCGCAGUAUCUAUUGUGUUUGCUUUGAAACCCAGCGAACAUACUCAGUGGCGUAGAGAGUUUUUUAUUGAUUGAUACGAAAUUUGUAUUUAUGUACUGUAAAUUCUUUUUCCUUAAAUAGUUUUCUACCAUUUUACAAACUUUUA